UAUUCCAAUUGAGCUGCUUUGGUUUGGUUUUGUCAGUUCUGGAAGAAUUCUUGCUAGCCCGAAAUCUCCAACAUGAGCAGUCAUGUCGCUAUCAAGAAGAAUGUUGCUCGGUUUUAGAUCACAAUGAAUGAUUGGUUGAUGGCAAUAGUGAUGAAGAUAAUCGAGUGCAUAUGCCACAUCAAUGGCAAUGUUGAUUCUCCUAAGAAGGCUUAGAUUAUUGUGAA
rnacentral:misc_RNA from 1 species